rnacentral:tRNA from 1 species
AUAGUCUUAGUUUAUGUUUAGAAUUAUAGUUUGUCUAGCUGUAGGUGAAUAUCUGUUCAGGCUAUU